UGAGGAAUAUUGGACAAUGGGUUAGCGCCUGAUCCAGCCAUCCCGCGGGAAGGACGACGGCCAUAGGGGAUGAAAACUUCUUUGUACAGGGAUAAUAGAUGAAGGGUAGAAAUGGAAAGCAAGGGAUGCAGCAGCCGCGUAAACCGGGG
rnacentral:rRNA from 1 species